ensembl:lncRNA
GUCAGAUGUUUUCAAACAGAAAUGUAUAUAAAAAAGAGAAAAGGAGAGACAAUAUAGAAGCAACUAAAAAGUAAAACAAGUGUUAUAUACAUAAAUACAUCUAUUAUUAAAUUACAAUACAAAAUUGUAGGGCAUCAUAUUGCACCAAAAUGAUGUUCUGUUCAAAGGCACAUAUUUAGUUCCCACUCCACACUCAUAUAUACACAGGGUUUCAAUAGUAUCAUGCUGGUUCCACCAAUAGACCAUAACUCCAAUCUGGCCAUAUAAUCACUGAACCAGAUCUCCUCCCUCAGGGAAGUCGUUUUUAACAAUAGAAAAAUUCAUUUGUUUCAAGUAUCAAAUGCUAGUGUAAAAUCAGUGCCAGAGACCCAAAAGCUACAUAAUUCACAGAGGAACAUGCGGAUGAUUUUCAUUUUAUAUCAUUCUCACAAAUAACUGGGAACUGGCUAAUUUCAUAGAAAUAUCAUUAGAGGUAGGCAGUUUCACUCCUUACCACAAGCAGUUCAUCAGUCACUCAUUCACAAGCAUUUAUUAUGAGCAAGAUACCCAAACCAGUAGUUGAUUUGUAAUAGUCACACACAUAUUUUGUCACAUUUCAUUACCCAAAUGACCAAGUAAAUACUUGAUAACUAUGAUCUGGCAAGGUCUUUGGGCAAUUCAAUAAACCUUAAGCUCAGCAGACUACCCCAGCAUCUAUGGGUCAGCUAAUGCCGGAUCCAAAUGUAGCAUUUGGAAGCCCUUUGAAUUCAGUGACUGGUUUCUGUUUCCAUAGCCCCAGAACCUGACACAGACAAUGGGAGGCACUUAAAUGUUUAUUGGAUUGAAUUGAAUUGAAUUAGGCAGAAAAUAUAUCAUAUACAAAACCAGCUAUAGUCUAUUGGACACAAAUCCAUUUCAUAGUUUGCAAAGAGUUGACUUUUUGAAAUGAAAAUCCAAUCAAGAGUUUCAAUGAUAGAAACCAUUACUACUAUAAAAAACAUAUACAUGUGUAUCACAUAUUUGUGACCCUGCCCUUUGAUACACUAAAAAUAAUUGUCAUUACAAUAUAAUUUAAAGAAAAAGUAUCAGCCUAUUGUUAUAAUGUUCACACAUUCCAGUGGAGUGUAAGCUCCUUGAGAGCAAAAGCUGUACAUUUCUGUUUUUGUAUCUAUCUUGUCUAACAAAGGACCUGGAACAACCAGCUUAAUAAGUGCUUGUUGAUGGGCUCUUAAAGCAAUAACAGACUAUGGCAGAAUCUUCAUGCAGUGCCAAUCAAUCACCAAUGAUCUGAACCAAGAUCUCUAAAUUAUGACCUCCAGCAGUGUACCACUCUCUAGCCUAUAAUAGCUAACGAUUCAUUAGCCAAAUAGCCUCAUGGGAAUGAAAAGGCAAGGCAAGUUUAGUGGGCUUUAUUAUCAAAUAUUUGUCAGGAAAGGGAGACAAAUUAAAUCUAUCAAACACUUAGUAGGGGAGGUGAUUUGUCUUGCUCUUUUCUGAUUCUGUGCUCAUUAUAAAACCUCAGGGAGUCAACAUUUAGCAAUAGGAAAACACAACAAAACUUGUCCACUGGAGAGAAGUAGCAUAGGGAGAAGACAAUGAUUCUCAUGGCAUCUCCUUUUGAUUUUAAUACAUGAGAUAUACUAAUAGACAUGAAAGCAAAUUAAUAACUCAAUUGCAUCCUUCCUAAAGAGAAAAAUGGUCUUCCUGUUUGUCUUAAUUUGAGGAAGGGAGUUUUGCCAUCUUUUUGCAUUUUGUUUUGUUUUUAGCCAAUAGUCUAAAUUCAAAAUAAUUAAAUGAUAAGAAAUGAUGAUUCCUUGGUCCCAAAUAACUUUUUUUUAAUGCUACCAAUCCCAGGUAAUUUAUGAAAACAUAAAGUAAAGUUUUGCUUUUUUCCUACUUUUUGAGGUUGAACAUAGUCUGAGUCAGAAUCCGUAGUCAUGGAAGUGGUAAGCAUAAAAGGCUAGUCUGGGAUUCACACUACUUAUAGCUGUCACAGGAAAAACACAUUUGGUGAUGAAUUUCUCUGAAGGAAUUAGGAGGAAAGCAGCACCCUCUUUCUAUGCUGAAAGGGCUAGAAAAUGCUUGAUCACAAUUUUUGGACUUGGUGGCUGGUACAAUAACAGCAGCUUAAUUUAUGUCAUUGGAACAAUAAAGAAGUGCAACAAUGGUAGUGUUUGAGAUACUUAAUAUAUGUAGUUUGCAAAGUAGGCCACUCACUUUCUCUUUCUUUCUUUCUCUCUCUCUCUCUCUCUCUCUCACACACACACACACACACACACACACACACAUGAGUGCGAAUGCACAUGCUCCAUACAAUAUACAUAUUCACUCUUUCUCUACCCAAUCUGUAUCUAUUAUUUCCUAAAGUUACUUUCCAAUCUAUAUAACUGUGUUUUAAUAUAUGGAAUUAAAUGGGGAAGGGGUAUAAAAAACCAUGGAAGACAGAUUGAAGGAAAUUUUCUCUUCAGAGCUACUGAAGAUAUGCCAUCAAAAGAGUGAAAAUCUAGGAUCAGGGAAGUAGUGACACAGACAGUCAACACCAUCUCCAAUGGCCAAGAUGACAUCUCUUUGAAGUUCUAUUUCUAGGCACUUAGGCUCAAAGGGUUCUAGGCUCAUAGAUUAAGAGCUGGAAAGCAUCUUAGAAGUAAUCUAAUCAAACUUGUAAGGUCUUAUUUCACAUCUCUAUGUUCAAGUCAAAGCCAAAAAUAAAAAUAUGCACAGGAGUAUCCUCCCAAAGAUCUCCUCCAUUUUGCUACAAGUGUACUAAAUAUGUUGAAUCUCAUAUUGUUAAAGAAAAAACUGUAUAUUUUUUCUUCUUUUUCUUUAGUAAGGAAAACCAUAUUUCUGUGGCAUAAACAGUAAGAAAAGACUCAUCGAAUUUCUGGCACCAUUUAGUCAAAUUUUAUCAACUGGGAUUUGAAAUCAAGUCUUAUAGACACUUCAGAAGAUAAGGCACAUAAAGGGUUUUGUGAAUCUUAAAAAACAACCUACAUGUGAGCUAUUAUUGUUGUCCUGCUAUACUAGUCUCAUCAAAUGACAUAUGUAACUCUCCUUCAAAAUAAAUCAAGAGAACAAAAAGGGCAAAAAGUAUUAUUUUUCAAUUCUACUAACUGGAAGUUACUUCAUAUGAUUAAAGGAAUUCACCUUGCAACCUAUAUUUUCCUCAGGUCUACAGAAAUUGAGUAAGAGUGGUUAUCUUCCAAAUCAGCACAGUCAUUCAUAUAGUUCUCAGAUCUCCAUUAAAGCUGUGCUAUUACUAGGAAAGGUUACUGCCUGAAAAUUAUACAGCAUUCUCAGAUCUAAAUACACCAUAAUAACUAAGUAACAGAGAGCUAUUGGCAGCUGAAACUACCUUAUCAAAUCAUGUGGGUUUCCCUAAGGUAGACCUAUGGAAGGAAGAAAAAGCUUUCCAGGAAGUGAAAUGUAAAUGUUAGACUCACACUAGCACAACUCAGGCAAUGACAAAAAUGCAACUCUGGCUACACUUCUAAUUCUUGAAUUCAUCACACUGAGAAUAAUUAUGAGAAAAAAAAAAAAAAAAAAAAACCAACAACAACAAAACACAAACAACAAAAAAAUGGUGAUUCAAGGGUGGAAAAAACUCACACCCCAGAAUAAUUAUGAUGGUACUGCAGUUUUUUUCUAAGUUAUGUAGAACUGAAAAAAAUGGAACUGCCUUAAUUGUAACCACAACUAUGCUCAGAAUUAUAAAAUUUUUAGAAAUGGAAAGGACACAUAGAAGCAUCUAAGAGAUGAAAUGUCCUUGUCAAGAUACUGAACAGACCAUUCAGUGUUGGCUUCAAAAGCAUCUGAAGGUAGGAUAUAUUUACUCUCUUCCCCACCUCAUAGCAACACAUUUAGGGAUAGCUCUACUUUUUGAGAUGUUUUUGUUUUUUAGAUUUUAUUUUCUUCAUUUUUUCAAGCCUAACUCUACCUCUCUACAACUUCUAUCCACAGUAUCUAAUCUAAUUCUAUCCUUGGGCCAAACAGACUAAGUCUUACCUUAUGACAACCCCUCCAAUAUAGAAAGACCUUUAUUAUCCUAUCUCUGAGUCUUUUCCAGGCUAUCAUCUCUACAUCCUUCAACUGAUUCUCCUACAACAUGAUCUUCAGACCAUUUACUCUGUUGACAAACAAAAUAUGCUAUUAAAACAACCAUGGACCAAUUAUCUCCCUUUCUUCUACAUAAACU